CAAUAGCAGUAAGCACAAGACGUAAGGUUGUAGCAUUAAUCUAGGAUCAUAGAACUUAAAAUAUCUUUAAAACCGUGCUGUCUACAAUGGCUUUAAGACAGACCAAUCAGGAGAAAGAAUGUUUAAUGUUAAAAGCAAUGGACGACUUGAAGUAAAGAGGUUAGCUUGGGCUACUGUUAAGGAAGGAUUGUCCAAGAAAAAGACUGGCACCGAUGCCGAACAUAGAUUUAGUUACGACAACGGUUUGGAAGAAAAAGGAAAAAA
rnacentral:lncRNA from 13 species